rnacentral:rRNA from 1 species
ACGAACGCUGGCGGCAGGCUUAACACAUGCAAGUCGAACGAAGGCUUCGGCCUUAGUGGCGCACGGGUGAGUAACACGUGGGAAUAUACCUCUUGGUGGGGAAUAACAUCGGGAAACUGAUGCUAAUACCGCAUACGCCCUUCGGGGGAAAGAUUUAUCGCCGAGAGAUUAGCCCGCGUCCGAUUAGCUAGUUGGUGAGGUAAUGGCUCACCAAGGCGACGAUCGGUAGCUGGUCUGAGAGGAUGAUCAGCCACACUGGGACUGAGACACGGCCCAGACUCCUACGGGAGGCAGCAGUGGGGAAUAUUGGACAAUGGGCGAAAGCCUGAUCCAGCCAUGCCGCGUGAGUGAUGAAGGCCUUAGGGUUGUAAAGCUCUUUCACCCACGACGAUGAUGACGGUAGUGGGAGAAGAAGCCCCGGCUAACUUCGU